GGCAGCCUCAUGAGGCGAGGGCUACGGCUGACCCUACUUCCACUGUGGCCCACCACAUUGUCGGCUCAACGGCACGGAACCCUAGCAUUGUUCUCAUUUCUGAUGCAACUCAUCUUUUCUCUCUUGUUCCUUCAUCGUUGUUUCCCUAUUCCCUCUCACAGUGUGCCGCUCUCCUCUCGCUGUCCGCCGCCGCCGAUCAUAUGGAGCACAACGAGUGCAUCCAUGAAAUCCUUGCCUACCUUCCGCCGCCGCCAGCCUCCACCAACACCACUUCCCCAUCUGAUAGAACCGGCAUCAGCCAGCUCCCACUCGAGCUCCUCGCGACCUUGUGUCCCGCCUGCCUGCCGCCAAUGGGAUUUGUGCCCCUCGUCCUCGAUGACGCACUGUUUUGUCCCCUAGUGGGCCACGUUGCCAAGGGCUUCCAAAAACACUCUGCGGUGGUGAAAACAGUGUCGCGCGCCACCGACUCCCACCCAGGCCCCUUCCACUCCGUCCAACUCACUGUCACCAGCUUCAACCGCCACGACAGCCUCAGGUAUAGUAUCCGUGCCUUGGAACGCAAUGACAAUUGGCAUGUGCUAUGCCGCCACCCUCCAGCCCAAGAUCCUCACCUGCACCUCCAUGGUGUGCCACACUGUCGCGCUCUUUGGCCGUUGACCCUGAGGGCCAGCAAAGCCGUCUUCCUGUCGAGCCUGCGGGAGCUCAUCUUGUGCGAGGGCUACACUCAAGCUAAUGACUUUGACCGGUUGCUCGUCAGCUGCCCUAAGAUUGAGCUGCUCUCGUUGAUCAACCCCAAUGACAUGCCCUUUUCCAUGGACAUCCUGAGCCCCACCAUGAAAAGCUUGGUUCUCUCUAUGGUCCAUAUGAAGGAGCUCAACUUCCUGGAAGCUCCAUCCCUUGAGCGUGCCAUCAUCUGGAGACCAAUCAUAGUCAUAAUCUAUGAUACUCCUUGUCCAUCGUCAUCUUGUGUUUUCCCUGAUAAGCAUCUUGUGUUUUCCAUUUUAUGCGUCUGCUCACAACUUACAAAGUUCAUGUUCUACAAUCUACAUGGAGUGGUUCUCAGUGAUCUUGCAUUCAUUAAAGCCCGCCUCCGCGAGAUCCUCGCCUACCUUCCGCCGCCGCCAGCCUCCAGCAACACCUCCGCUGGCCCACCCGACGGCGCCGGCGCCGGCGCGGUAUUAACCCCCUCCUCGAGCUCGCGCGCGCGCGACGGCGACCGCAUCAGCCAGCUCCCGGCGAAGCUCCUCCAGGACGUCGUGUCCCGUCUGCCGGCCGCCGACGGCGCCCGCACCACGGCGCUGUCCCGCCCCUGGGCCCGGAUCUGGGGCUUCGUGCCCCUCGUCCUCGACGACGCCCUCUUCGUGAUCCCCACCACGCCCCAAGCCGGCGCCGGCGCCGGCGCCGUCACCGGGCGGAUCAGCUCCAGAUCGCACCACGCCACGGUGGUGGUGGACAAGAUGUCGCGUGCCAUCGACUCCCACCCGGGCCCCUUCCGCAGCGUCCGGCUCACAAGCACCAACUUCCACCGCCACGACCGCCUCGGCCACUGGAUCCGCGCCAUGGGACGCAAGGGCGGCGUCGAGGAUCUCGUCCUCGUCCACCCCGGCGGCGUGGCCCGCGCCGUCACCCUCCCGCCCGAGGUUCUCACCUGCACCUCCAUGGUGCGCCUCGCCGUCGCGCGCUGCGGCCUGCCCCCGUACGCCGACGUCGACCUGCCGAGACUGCGGGAGCUCGUCCUAUGCGAGGGCCACUUCCGGGCGGCCAACGAGCUGGGCCGGAUGCUCGCCGGCUGCCCUAAGCUCGAGUCGCUCACGCUGAUCAACCCCAACGACAUGCCCUUUUCGGCCAUGGAAGUCGCUGGGACGAAGAUCAGCCCGUCUUUAACGAUCCCUAGUGUCGAGACCCUGGCUAUAAAACUAUCGUUUGGAUCAAAAGAGCAAGAGAAUAGGCUUUUGUCCUUUCUGAAGAUAUUUCCAAAUGUCAAGACUCUAUAUGUGAUGCGUGAUGUAGAUUUCUGGAUGAAGAACCUUGGAUCCAUUUUAUGUGUCCAUUCACAACUUACAAAGUUCACGUUCUAUAAUCUACAUGGAGUGGUUCUCGGUGAUCUUCCAUUCAUUAGAGCAGUCAUGGGGACAGCUAGAUUGCUAAAGGAGAUGCGUCUUUUCCCAUGUGACAAAAUCUUCUUUAAUCGGUAA
rnacentral:lncRNA from 1 species